AAAGUCUCAUACGAUGAAGGAGUAGCGAACCGCAUCGGCCCCGAGUCAUGCGCAGUCGUCCGUGAGGACGGCUGCGAAGCGUUGACAGGGGGGAUGUGGGCCAGGUAUUGAGCCGCGAAAAGACCCUCAUCCGGGGUGCCGACGCCAUCGAGGGCAGCGGAAGGCAAAACGGGAUGUCUCGUAAGCGCGAGAAGCAUUCCGACCCCGCGUGGUCUUAGACCC
rfam:Geobacter sp. FRC-32, complete genome.